UGGGGAAUUUUGGACAAUGGGCGCAAGCCUGAUCCAGCCAUGCCGCGUGCGGGAAGAAGGCCUUCGGGUUGUAAACCGCUUUUGUCAGGGAAGAAAUCUUCUGAGUUAAUACCUCGGGAGGAUGACGGUACCUGAAGAAUAAGCACCGGCUAACUACGUGCCAGCAGCCGCGGUAAUACGUAGGGUGCAAGCGUUAAUCGGAAUUACUGGGCGUAAAGCGUGCGCAGGCGGUUUUGUAAGACAGAGGUGAAAUCCCCGGGCUCAACCUGGGAACUGCCUUUGUGACUGCAAGGCUUGAGUGCGGCAGAGGGGGAUGGAAUUCCGCGUGUAGCAGUGAAAUGCGUAGAUAUGCGGAGGAACACCGAUGGCGAAGGCAAUCCCCUGGGCCUGCACUGACGCUCAUGCACGAAAGCGUGGGGAGCAAACAGGAUUAGAUACCCCUGGUAGUCCACGCCCUAAACGAUGUCAACUGGUUGUUGGGAAGGUUCCUUCUCAGUAACGUAGCUAACGCGUGAAGUUGACCGCCUGGGGAGUACGGCCGCAAGGUUGAAACUUAAAUGAAUUGA
rnacentral:rRNA from 1 species